CGGCCGACCAGAUCGGUGCACUUUCGUUGUCAUAUAUUCGAGUGGGUUACGUCUACACACAGACGUCACUGGGACGAACGGAGGUGUGUUCCAUAUUCAGGGCACCAAGACCAAUCCAACGCACUAUGCCACCAUCCGUGUACAUGACCUGUGUUGCCUAGUGUAAUUGAUCUUCUUCCACUG